rnacentral:lncRNA from 1 species
GAGAGGAGGAAGAAGACUCCCUUCGGGAGUUCUUCUCCUCUAUUUUUUUUUUUUUGGGCUUUGGUGGGCUGGGAUUCUUACUCAGGCCAGGCCAUCACAUUCUUCCCCUCUAAAAAAAAUUUCAUCCUCAAAAGUUUUCUUGCUUGAGUCUUCAUAGUUUCUUACUUGAAUCUCAUCCAUAAAUAUUUUAAUAGUCUAAUUCUUGAUAUAAAAUUCAUUCUUAAAUCAUUUUAUAAGGAAAAAGUCAAUACAUCAAAUAU